GACGAACGCUGGCGGCGUGCUUAACACAUGCAAGUCGAACGGAAAGGCCCUGCUGUUGUGGGGAGCGCGAAUGGCGAACGGGUGAGUAACACGACCGGAACCCGCCCCUGACAUAGGUAUAACUUCAGGAAACUGGGGCUAAAAGCGGACAGGAGCUCCUGCUGCAUGGUGGGGGUUGGAAAGUUGGGGCGGUAGGGGAUCGACACGCGGCUUAUCAGCGUGUUGGUGGGGUAGUGGCUUACCAAGGCUUUGACGGGUAGCCGGCCUUAGAGGGUGACAGGCCACAUUGGGACUGAGAAACGGCCCAGACUCCUACGGGAGGCAGCAGUGGGGAAUAUUGCGCAAUGGGCGGAAGCCUGAUGCAGCAACGCCGCGUGCGGGAUGACGGCCUUCGGGUUGUAAACCACUUUCGCCUGUGACGAAGCGUGAGUGACGGUACUGGGUGAAGAAGCACCGGCUAACUACGUG
rnacentral:rRNA from 1 species